UACAGAGGGUGCAAGCGUUGUUCGGAAUUAUUGGGCGUAAAGCGCGUGUAGGCGGCUUUGCAAGUCGGGUGUGAAAGCCCUCAGCUUAACUGAGGAAGUGCGCCCGAAACUGCAGAGCUUGAGUACCGGAGAGGGUGGCGGAAUUCCCCAAGUAGAGGUGAAAUUCGUAGAUAUGGGGAGGAACACCGGUGGCGAAGGCG
rnacentral:rRNA from 1 species